CCAGCCUGGUGUACAGAGCAAGUUCCAAG
rnacentral:piRNA from 1 species